rnacentral:rRNA from 1 species
GAUGAACGCUGGCGGCGUGCCUAAUACAUGCAAGUCGAGCGAACGGACGAGAAGCUUGCUUCUCUGAUGUUAGCGGCGGACGGGUGAGUAACACGUGGAUAACCUACCUAUAAGACUGGGAUAACUUCGGGAAACCGUAGCUAAUACCGGAUAAUAUUUUGAACCGCAUGGUUCAAAAGUGAAAGACGGUCUUGCUGUCACUUAUAGAUGGAUCCGCGCUGCAUUAGCUAGUUGGUAAGGUAACGGCUUACCAAGGCAACGAUGCAUAGCCGACCUGAGAGGGUGAUCGGCCACACUGGAACUGAGACACGGUCCAGACUCCUACGGGAGGCAGCAGUAGGGAAUCUUCCGCAAUGGGCGAAAGCCUGACGGAGCAACGCCGCGUGAGUGAUGAAGGUCUUCGGAUCGUAAAACUCUGUUAUUAGGGAAGAACAUAUGUGUAAGUAACUGUGCACAUCUUGACAGUACCUAAUCAGAAAGCCACGGCUAACUACGUG